rnacentral:snRNA from 1 species
GAAAGCUCAACUCUGAAUAGCU